rnacentral:tRNA from 1 species
GCUGGCGUAGCUCAAUUGGUAGAGCACCUGUUUUGUAAACAGGUGGUUAGGGGUUCAAGUCCCCUCGCUAGCU